UGAGGAAUAUUGCGCAAUGGGCGAAAGCCUGACGCAGCGACGCCGCGUGGGGGAUGAAGGCCUUCGGGUUGUAAACCCCUGUCAGGAGGGACGAAGCGGCUUCGUGCCGUGACGGUACCUCGGUAGGAAGCCCCGGCCAACUACGUGCCAGCAGCCGCGGUAAGACGUAGGGGGCGAGCGUUGUCCGGAAUUACUGGGCGUAGAGAGCUCGUAGGCGGCCUGUUAAGUCGGAUGUGAAAGCCCCCGGCUCAACCGGGGAAUUGCAUCCGAUACUGGCAGGCUAGAGUCUGGUAGAGGGAGGUGGAAUUCCCGGUGUAGCGGUGAAAUGCGCAGAUAUCGGGAGGAACACCGGUGGCGAAGGCGGCCUCCUGGGCCACGACUGACGCUGAGGAGCGAAAGCUGGGGGAGCGAACA
rnacentral:rRNA from 1 species